CUCAAGUGAGAGACCAUGAAAAGUAGUGGGCUUUCUAGUGCCUUCCAAGAGAGCCUCCUCUUCUUCUAGAGGUAAGGCAAGCGCUGAAACACCCACAUCAACAGUGUGUGACUGCACCAGCCCUGCCCUCUCUCCCCCCGCAGGCUCCUUCUCCAGUUCACUGUCUAAAAUCCCCCUCCCGCCUUGUUAGACAGUCACAUUCUCCUAGGACCUUCUCAGUCGUCUGUCAUGUAAGCCUGUAUUUACUCCUUCCCGCCUCUCCUAGGGCUUGUGCAUGAAUCUCGGAUUCAUGACCUGACUUGCUGGUGUCUUUCGGUAGCUCAUCUUUUAGCCUUAGUGUUGUCAGCCAUGAAGAAGCCCAUCAUAUGGGCUCCGUCUCUAGGCCACUCGGUCUUGCAGAAGUGUGACUUGUGCUGUGGAGUAAGCGAGAAGUAUGCUCACAACUACCAGUGCCAAGGAAGAAUGUAUUUUGCCUGAAGGAUCCACAGGAAGAUCUGUGGCAGGGGCCGAGUAACCACACAUUACCAAAGGCCCCGGCUCAAGUCUCCAGUCCCCACCCGAAGGAAGAAGCCUCAAGAAUGGUGGAGCAGUGUGGCAGCUGACUCACCGUCCUUCAACAUCUCUCUGACAUCCUCCAGAAAAAAGAGAAAAGAUUGCUCGGAGUGGCGGAGUCAUGCAGACAACAGCCCUGGUGAAACAAAGCACAGCAAAGUAAAACAGGAGACCGGGGAGGUAGGACUUCCACGUGAGGGAGGACCCUGCAGCACAGACACUGGCAUGAUGGUCUGUUUCUCUCUCUCACUUACCUUC